rnacentral:rRNA from 1 species
CAACCUGCCCUUUUGAACGGGAUAACCCAGCGAAAGCUGGACUAAUACCGUAUACGACAUAUUAUUCGCAUGUUUAAUAUGUGAAAGGAUGCUCUUCGGAGCACUCACAAAAGGAUGGGCCUGCGUUCCAUUAGUUAGUUGGUGAGGUAACGGCUCACCAAGGCAGCGAUGGAUAGCUGGUUUGAGAGAGUGAUCAGCCACACUGGGACUGAGAUACGGCCCAG